rnacentral:rRNA from 1 species
GAUUUCUGACAAAGCGGGGCGGCCCGUGCUCUUAAUGGGUGCUGUGUGCCGUGUCGUGUUUGUCAUCCUUCCAGAGAGCUACGUCUACCAUUCAUUUGGCCGGACGUACGCGAUCUGGAUCGAUUACUUUGAAAAAAUUAGAGUGUUUAAAGCAGGCUUAUGCUGUGAAUACAUUAGCAUGGAAUAAUAAUAUAGGACUUUGGUUCUAUUUUGUUGGUUUCUAGGACUGAAGUAAUGAUUGAUAGGGAUAGUUGGGGGUGCUAGUAUUCAGUGGCCAGAGGUGAAAUUCUUGGAUUCACUGAAGACUAACUACUGCGAAAGCAUU